rnacentral:rRNA from 1 species
UAGAGUUUGAUCCUGGCUCAGGACGAACGCUGGCGGCGUGCCUAACACAUGCAAGUCGAACGGAGCUAAAGAGCUUGCUUUUUAGCUUAGUGGCGGACGGGUGAGUAAUGCGUGAGCAACCUGCCUGUCAGUGGGGGAUAACUUCCGGAAACGGACGCUAAUACCGCAUACAGUACAUAAUCCGCAUGGGUAAGUGUAUGAAAGGAGCAAUCCGCUGAUAGAUGGGCUCACGUCCGAUUAGUUAGUUGGUGGGGUAACGGCCUACCAAGACUGCGAUCGGUAGCCGGGCUGAGAGGCUGAACGGCCACAUUGGGACUGAGACACGGCCCAGACUCCUACGGGAGGCAGCAGUGGGGGGAUAUUGCACAAUGGGGGAAACCCUGAUGCAGCAACGCCGCGUGAGGGAUGAAGGUUUUCGGAUUGUAAACCUCUGUCUUUAGUGAAGAACAAAAUGACGGUAACUAAGGAGGAAGCUCCGGCUAACUACGUGCCAGCAGCCGCGGUAAUACGUAGGGAGCGAGCGUUGUCCGGAUUUAUUGGGUGUAAAGGGUGCGUAGGCGGCUAUGUAAGUCAGACGUGUAAUGCAGAGGCUUAACCUCUGAACUGCGUUUGAAACUGUGUGGCUUGAGUGGAGUAGAGGCAGAUGGAAUUUCCAGUGUAGCGGUGAAAUGCGUAGAUAUUGGAAAGGAACACCAGUGGCGAAGGCGAUCUGCUGGGCUCUAACUGACGCUGAGGCACGAAAGCAUGGGGAGCAAACAGGAUUAGAUACCCUGGUAGUCCAUGCCGUAAACGAUGAUUACUAGGUGUGGGGGGACUGACCCCUUCCGUGCCGGAGUUAACACAAUAAGUAAUCCACCUGGGAAGUACGAUCGCAAGGUUGAAACUCAAAGGAAUUGACGGGGGCCCGCACAAGCAGUGGAGUAUGUGGUUUAAUUCGACGAUACGCGAAGAACCUUACCAGGUCUUGACAUCCAACUAACGAGGCAGAGAUGCAUUAGGUGCCCUUCGGGGAAAGUUGAGACAGGUGGUGCAUGGUUGUCGUCAGCUCGUGUCGUGAGAUGUUGGGUUAAGUCCCGCAACGAGCGCAACCCCUACGGUUAGUUGCUACGCAAGAGA